rnacentral:rRNA from 1 species
GAUGAACGCUGGCGGCGUGCCUAAUACAUGCAAGUCGAGCGAACGGACGAGAAGCUUGCUUCUCUGAUGUUAGCGGCGGACGGGUGAGUAACACGUGGAUAACCUACCUAUAAGACUGGGAUAACUUCGGGAAACCGGAGCUAAUACCGGAUAAUAUUUUGAACCGCAUGGUUCAAAAGUGAAAGACGGUCUUGCUGUCACUUAUAGAUGGAUCCGCGCUGCAUUAGCUAGUUGGUAAGGUAACGGCUUACCAAGGCAACGAUGCAUAGCCGACCUGAGAGGGUGAUCGGCCACACUGGAACUGAGACACGGUCCAGACUCCUACGGGAGGCAGCAGUAGGGAAUCUUCCGCAAUGGGCGAAAGCCUGACGGAGCAACGCCGCGUGAGUGAUGAAGGCCUUCGGAUCGUAAAACUCUGUUAUUAGGGAAGAACAUAUGUGUAAGUAACUGUGCACAUCUUGACGGUACCUAAUCAGAAAGCCACGGCUAACUACG